AUUCGGGGUGCUGGGUCGCACGGUGCGGCUUGGCUGAGAUGAAACCCGUCAACCUGAUCAGGGUAAUGCCUGCGGAGGGAAAAUGAAAA
rnacentral:ncRNA from 1 species